UAUUUUGGCCUUAUUGAGGUUCGGCCAAUCCCAGUAGUCGCGGUGACGUCAUUACGUUGUUCCCCUCAGCGCGCUGUGUUGUAAUUAGCGGCUGCAGCAUUCAGGCGUGCAGGAGCGGUGGGGAAGCCACACACGAGAGAGCUGCAGGAGCCCCUUAUCGUAGCCAAAUCAGAGACGGACGACGGAGUGAGAGAGUAGAUGCAAAUCGUGGAACUGGCCAGGUCCUUGAUUGAUGGCGAGCUAAUGGAGCCCUGAACCUAAAGCAAAGCAACUGCUGAAGAAUCGAGUCGCACCUCUCCUGCCAGGCUGGUAGGGGGCUCUUGGUGGCCCACAAACUUUCCCCACUCAAAACCUUGAAUUGUCUGCCUUGCCCACAUACAAUCUUUUUUUUCACAAACCCCUCCUAUGCGCACUCUUCCUACUGGACAAUCACAUUCAACCCAGACGUGGGUUACAUGAACUGUGGGAUUGGGUUGGUACAUUGGGGUAAAUUCCCAAGUGUGGGGAAUUUUGUGGACUCAUUGGCGCUUUGCAUUGACAUUCGAAUUGUAUAUCAAUGUUUGAGUCAUGUCCUGAAGUUGCAUAGUUAAUGAAUUAUUUUGAAUAUUCAUUAUUGAAUGGCCAUUUAUGAGUUACUGUUUGUUAUUCACUGUAAAUAUUUGCACUGUUGGUUGUCUUAUAUGGUUAAAGAAAUAUUCAAUAUAUGGUACCUGCAAACACAAAAUCAGCUUCCUGUCUACUUUCUCCUUGAGCCGAAUUUAGCCUUCUGAUUUGCAGUCAGAUGAACCUAACCACUUCUGGUGUUAGUAAACCAGUUCUUUACUACUUACUCACUACACAGGUGUUACAAUUGCUCACUGGCUUUGAAUACAUACAGACACACCAUGGAUCACAGCGAGCUGGAUGUUGAUCAUCCAGGGAAGCUUCAGCAGACUGGUUGGAUGCAGCAUGUGAGAGAAUUACAGAUAAACUAAAACAAGACAAGCUAACAAAUGCCGCGAUGAAGUAGUUAGCUAGAGACUGCAUUUGGAUUAGUAUUGUGGAGGAUGUUGGUCUGUGGAAUGUUCUUCAGAUCGCAACGAAUGACGGCACAUAUGAGCCUCAACCUGCAUCACUAGCGGGUGACUCAUACACAGGGGCAAUAGUCAAUGCAUAGACUGCUAAAUUAAAGAAAUACAAAUGUAUAAAUGUUAACUUGCUGUUGCUGGGAAGGUUCCUGUUAAAAUGUUAUGAUCAUGGCUCUGGACUCUAACUAACAGAGUAACUUGAUUUUCUGUAACAAACCAGAUAAAACUUGAAUGCCUUGCCGUGGCAAAUAGCUUUGGUUUUAUUUAUUUGAUUACAUUAAUGUUUAAGUUGAGGUUUACAAGAAAUAUGAUAACUGCUGGUGUGUAAAGGGAAUAAAAGUG